UACGAAGGGGGCUAGCGUUGUUCGGAAUUACUGGGUGUAAAGCGCGCGUAGGCGGUGAUCUUUGUCAGAGGUGAAAGCCUGGGGCUCAACUCCAGAAUUGCCUUUGAAACGGGAUUGCUUGAGUCCGAGAGAGGAUGGCGGAAUUCCUAGUGUAGAGGUGAAAUUCGUAGAUAUUAGGAAGAACACCGGUGGCGAAGGCGGCCAUCUGGCUCGGUACUGACGCUCAGGCGCGAAAGCGUGGGGAGCAAACAGG
rnacentral:rRNA from 1 species